rnacentral:rRNA from 1 species
GAUGAACGCUGGCGGCGUGCCUAAUACAUGCAAGUCGAGCGAAUGGAUUAAGAGCUUGCUCUUAUGAAGUUAGCGGCGGACGGGUGAGUAACACGUGGGUAACCUGCCCAUAAGACUGGGAUAACUCCGGGAAACCGGGGCUAAUACCGGAUAACAUUUUGAACCGCAUGGUUCGAAAUUGAAAGGCGGCUUCGGCUGUCACUUAUGGAUGGACCCGCGUCGCAUUAGCUAGUUGGUGAGGUAACGGCUCACCAAGGCAACGAGGCGUAGCCGACCUGAGAGGGUGAUCGGCCACACUGGGACUGACCCGCGCCCCAGACUCCAACGGGGGGCAGAAGCGGGAAAUCUGCAGAAAGGAACGAAAGUCUGAGGGAGCAACGCGGGGUGAGUAAUGAUGUCUUUCGGGUCAUAAAACUCUGUUUUUAGGAAAGAACAAGUGCUAGUUGAAUAAGCUGGCACCUGGCGGGUACCUAACCAGAAAGCCACGGCUAACUACGUGCCAGCCGCCGCGGUAA